rnacentral:rRNA from 1 species
CCUACGGGAGGCAGCAGUGGGGAAUAUUGCACAAUGGGGGAAACCCUGAUGCAGCGACGCCGCGUGAGCGAUGAAGUAUUUCGGUAUGUAAAGCUCUAUCAGCAGGGAAGAAGAUGACGGUACCUGACUAAGAAGCCCCGGCUAACUACGUGCCAGCAGACGCGGUAAUACGUAGGGGGCAAGCGUUAUCCGGAUUUACUGGGUGUAAUGGGAGCGUAGACGGCGAUGCAAGCCAGAUGUGAAAGCCCGGGGCUCAACCCCGGGAUUGCAGUUGGAACUGUGUGGCUGGAGUGUCGGAGAGGCAGGCGGAAUUCGUGGUGUAGCGGUGAAAUGCGUAGAUAUUACGAGGAACACCAGUGGCGAAGGCGGCCUGCUGGACGAUGACUGACGUUGAGGCUCGAAAGCGUGGGGAGCAAACAGGAUUAGAUACCCGUGUAGUC